CAGGCAAGGGUCGAGGUAACAAUGACUCUACUAGUUUUCGGUGUCGAGAAAAGGAUAGGAAGGCAAAGAGGAGGGUAGAAGAUAAUAUUGCAUCUUUUCCACCCUCUUCAGAGAUGCCUAUGUUUAUGCCUAUGUCUUAUCCUCCACCCCAGGGCUAUUCUGAGCUGCCAUAGCAUCACGAGUCCUAUAUCUUCGUGCAGACACCAGGUCUUUCAUCACAGGGCCAUAGGACUAUACGUCUGACAUACAGUCCAGCUGCCUCACGACCACGUGGAUCGCAACCAUCUGCAUUACAUGGAUCGCAUCCAUCCAUGUCAUAUCCACAUGGAUCACAUUCAUCCGUGUCACAGCCACUCGGGUCACAGACAUCAGUAUCACAAUCACUUGCGGUCCAUCAAGUUAUGUCGCAGUCACAGGGAUCGCGACCAUCUUCAUCAGCGACUCCAUCUAUUUCAAGCCUUCGCCUGUGAGAUAGUUGCUCUGACCCCCUACACCUUCCACACAUGCCUCUGAUAUAUAUGCUUCGGACGGUGAUGCUGAUAAUGACGAGGAGGUGCAUUAUGAUCAAUAUGGCAGGAUCAUCAUAGUCCCUGAGGGUGAUGGGUUCAUCCCGAGUAAUAUUACUACGAGGAUAAUCACUAAAGCCACCAGAAAGCUUUAUGAUGACCCUUAUGCGACUUGGAAUGAAUAUCCAUUCUCGCUGAAGGAGCAAAAUUUUAAUCAAUUUAAGAGCAAGUGUGUAUGGGAACAUCGCUAUAGCGCGGAAGUGGUUGCAAAUUUUUACCACAAAGCUCGCAAACGGUUGUCGCAUAGUUUUUCCAAAGCUAGAAAUUUGAACUAGAAGCCUGAUUGGUUGCUUCAGAAUUUAUGGGAGGAUUUGCAAAGGCAAUGACUUACCGCAAAGUUCUUAGAGAAGAGCGAAAAAGGAAAGAAAGCUCACGCAUCUG